GCUGGCACAGUGGUGCAUGCCUGUAGCCCCAGCUACUCGCGAGGCUGAGGUGGGAGGAUGGCUUGAGCCCAGGAGUUCUGAACUGUAGUGCGCUAUAUUGAUCGGGUAUCCGUACUAAGUUCGGCAUCAAUAUGGUGACCUCCCCGGAGUGGGGGACCACCAGGUUGCCUAAGGAGGGGUGAACCGGUGGAGGUCAGAAACGGAGCAGGUCAAAACUCCUGUGCUGAUCAGUAGUGGGAUUGCGCCUGUGAAUAGCCACUGUACUCCAGCCUGAGCAACAUAGUGAGACUCCGGCUCUA
ensembl:misc_RNA Metazoa_SRP Metazoan signal recognition particle RNA